GGUGAACGCUGGCGGCGUGCCUAAUACAUGCAAGUCGAGCGAACGGACGAGAAGCUUGCUUCUCUGAUGUUAGCGGCGGACGGGUGAGUAACACGUGGAUAACCUACCUAUAAGACUGGGAUAACUUCGGGAAACCGGAGCUAAUACUGGAUAAUAUUUUGAACCGCAUGGUUCAAAAGUGAAAGACGGUCUUGCUGUCACUUAUAGAUGGAUCCGCGCUGCAUUAGCUAGUUGGUAAGGUAACGGCUUACCAAGGCAACGAUGCAUAGCCGACCUGAGAGGGUGAUCGGCCACACUGGAACUGAGACACGGUCCAGACUCCUACGGGAGGCAGCAGUAGGGAAUCUUCCGCAAUGGGCGAAAGCCUGACGGAGCAACGCCGCGUGAGUGAUGAAGGUCUUCGGAUCGUAAAACUCUGUUAUUAGGGAAGAACAUAUGUGUAAGUAACUGUGCACAUCUUGACGGUACCUAAUCAGAAAGCCACGGCUAACUACGUG
rnacentral:rRNA from 1 species